UUACUUUGCCUUGAGAUACAAUUACAUAACCAAAUCAUGUCUAAACGCCAGAUGGAUAUACCCACCGCCGAGUCCCAAAUUGAACAGGAGGCAGGCCGUCGCCUGGAGACAGCUCCCGACGAACACCUUCCCAAACCCAUUCCGCCUGAAACGUAUCUUCCGAGAUAAGCAUCAGGACGACACGAUAAAAUUGCACCAGGAAGGGCCAGCAACACCCAAACACAUGUUGUGGGAGUGCAAUGUAAUUAUAGGAAGGAUGGCAGUUACUCCACAGACCCUGUCGUCGAGGUGGGUCGCCGUUCUGUGCAGCUAAGACCUCGCCAUCCAGACGUGGGCAGUCCAGCAAGCUCGUGAGGCGGCGUUGAGCCAGCGCCUUGACGUCCCCCCGUGGGAGACCUAAACCCGGGUCAAGUUAAACCUUGCAUGACGUUCAAUAAAAUUGCAUCCGUCCGUCCGUCCGUCCGU
rnacentral:lncRNA from 1 species